rnacentral:rRNA from 1 species
CUACGAGUCGCUGCAGUGGGGAAUAUUGCACAAUGGGCGCAAGCCUGAUGCAGCAACGCCGCGUGAGGGAUGAAGGCCUUCGGGUUGUAAACCUCUUUUAGCAGGGAAGAAGCGAAAGUGACGGUACCUGCAGAAAAAGCACCGGCUAACUACGUGCCAGGCAGCCGCGGUAAUACGUAGGGUGCAAGCGUUGUCCGGAAUUAUUGGGCGUAAAGAGCUCGUAGGCGGUUUGUCACGUCUGCUGUGAAAAUCCAAGGCUCAACCUUGGACUUGCAGUGGGUACGGGCAGGCUAGAGUGCGGUAGGGGAGAUGGGAAUUCCUGGUGUAGCGGUGGAAUGCGCAGAUAUCAGGAGGAACACCAAUGGCGAAGGCACAUCUCUGGGCCGUAACUGACGCUGAGGAGCGAAAGCGUGGGGAGCGAACAGGAUUAGAUACCCCCGUAGUC